UCGGGAAUUUUGGGCAAUGGGCGAAAGCCUGACCCAGCAACGCCGCGUGAAGGAUGAAGUAUUUCGGUAUGUAAACUUCGUAAGAAUAGGAAGAAUAAAUGACGGUACUAUUUGUAAGGUCCGGCUAACUACGUGCCAGCAGCCGCGGUAAUACGUAGGGACCAAGCGUUGUUCGGAUUUACUGGGCGUAAAGGGCGCGUAGGCGGUGUGUCAAGUCAGUUGUGAAAUCUCCGAGCUUAACUCGGAACGGUCAACUGAUACUGUCACACUAGAGUGCAGAAGGGGCAAUCGGAAUUCUUGGUGUAGCGGUGAAAUGCGUAGAUAUCAAGAGGAACACCUGAGGUGAAGACGGGUUGCUGGGCUGACACUGACGCUGAGGCGCGAAAGCCAGGGGAGCAAACGGGAUUAGAUACCCAGGUAGUCCCUGAGCGGGCUGGCAAGGCGCAU
rnacentral:rRNA from 1 species